rnacentral:lncRNA from 1 species
CUGUUCUUUAUGUUGGCCUCCUGACCAGGACUGAAUGACUCAGGGGUGAGGGUCCAUCCAUUUGCCUACAACCACUCUGGAAAUCAUUCUGGCGGUUCCUCAGAAAAUUGGACAUAGUACUACCGGAGGAUCCAGCAAUACCUCUCCUGGGCAUAUAUCCAGAAGAUGUUCCAACAGAUCUGAAGUCUAAUUAGAGAGCAAUUGGUCACCACCGAGGUAUGUGUGACACAAAUGUACCCAUGUAAGCAUCCUGGAAAUAUCAGAAGCUAUAACCAUAAAGUCUCACUAACAUGAUCUAAAAAUGAGGUGAACAGGGACAACAACAGAAAUGUUAACAUGGAUGAGUGACAGCCAAAAAGGCCUCAACCCUACACAAAGAAGUACAGGCAACUAAGAAAUACUAGGGAAUGGAAGAAAUAGUCUUCUUCAGCAAAGAGCACACUGAUUGUUAUGCAACACCAAAUGGUCAGCCCUGAGAACUCAUGUAUUAGCAGCAUUACACAAACUGAGCAAAUAGAAUUUUAUCUUACCUACAAUAAUGACAAUGGAAAAAAAAUGUCCUAUUGUUUUUUCAAGUAUUACCAGGCUUUAAUAUAAAAUGAAAAGCAUUCAUACUAGAAAAAAGCUUCCAAAAAGUCCAACACUUCCUUGAUUAAGACAUGUGCAUGGUCAUUUAAAAAAAAAAGCAGAAAAGGUGCUAAUCAGCCUCUCUGCACUGCAACCAUGACCGAGAACUCACAGCAAGGCAUGCUGGGGACGUAGCAGAGCUAUCCUCCCACGUACACACCAAGACCAGGACCUGCAGGAGCCUGAGUGCAUUCUUUAACGCAGGGACAUCAGCAGAUAUUUCUUCAGUAAUCUGAUCUGGCUUUAUAGCCAUGCCUAGCUCACAUAUAAGAUCUUUGGGAAAAUAUACUCUGACU